AGCAUGUGCACACUUGGCUAUUGUUUCUUAAACCACUUGUGCACCUUUUGUAGACUUUGGGUAAAGUUUUGAGUCGAGAGUGAUCUUGGCCCUUAUACUCCAAAGUCUAUGUCUUUUCAUAUCAUUUACUCUAUGUAUAAGAAUGUUUUCUAAGGCAUUUCUUCGAUGCCUUUAAAUCAUAUACAACUUUCAACAACGGAUCUCUUGGCUCUCGCAUCGAUGAAAAACGCAGCGAAAUGCGAUAAGUAAUGUGAAUUGCAGAAUUCAGUGAAUCAUCGAAUCUUUGAACGCACCUUGCGCUCCUUGGUAUUCCGAGGAGCAUGCCUGUUUGAGUGUCAUGAAAUUCUCAACCUUUGUUACUUUUUUGUUUCAAAGUGUUUGGAUGUGGGAGUUGCUGGCUUUUUGUGUUCAAAGAGUCAGCUCUUCUGAAAUACAUUAGUGGGACCCAUCGUUGAUUUAGCCCCUGGUGUGAUAGUUAUCUACGCCGUGGCUUAGCACGAUAUUGUGUGGUUCAGCUUUUUAACAGGACAAUUAACUGUCUUU
rnacentral:rRNA from 1 species